rnacentral:pre_miRNA from 14 species
UCUCACAUCUAAUAAUUUGUGUGCACUCAAUGCUGAGAGAAGUAGCAGUUACUUUUUACUCUUAAGUAACUGCAACAUCUCUCAGUAUUGUAAGGCUCUACAAAUGCAGGAGUGAUAAC